GGAGUCUGGUCCGUGUCUCAGUACCAGUGUGGGGGACCUUCCUCUCAGAACCCCUAACGAUCGAUGGCACGGUGGGCCGUUGCCCCGCCGUCUACCUAAUCAGACGCAUCCCCAUCCCAUAGCGAUAAAUCUUUGGUAUUGCUCAGAUGUCCUCAUAAUACAACAUAGGGCAUUAAUCCGACUUUCGCCGGGCUAUUCCCUACUAUGGGGAAGGUUGGAUACGCGUUACUCACCCGUGCGCCGGUCGCCAUCAAAGUUUGCAAGCAAACUUCAUGCUGCCCCUCGACUUGCAUGUGUUAAGCCUGUAGCUAGCGUUCAUC
rnacentral:rRNA from 1 species